UUUGUUACUUCAAACCAAUCGGACUUCGGUCUGACAUCAAGUGAUAUUGAACAAUUUAGCUGAUCGCACGGUCUAAGAACCGGCGACAUAUCCUUCAAAUGUCUGCCUUAUCAACUUUCGAUGGUAGAUUAUGCGCCUACCAUGGUUGUAACGGGUAACGGAGAAUCAGGGUUUGAUUCCGGAGAGGGAGCCUGAGAAACGGCUACCACAUCCAAGGAAGGCAGCAGGCACGCAAAUUACCCACUCCCGGCACGGGGAGGUAGUGACGAAAAAUAACAAGCUGGUCUCAAUGAGUUCCAGCAUUGCAAUGGGAACAAUUUAAACCUUUUAUCGAGGAUCUAUUGGAGGGCAAGUCUGGUGCCAGCAGCCGCGGUAAUUCCAGCUCCAAUAGCGUAUAUUAAAGUUGUUGCGGUUAAAAAGCUCGUAGUUGGAUCUAGGAUUAGGGCUACGGUCGUUCAGCUUGGACGUACUGUAUGCCCGACUCCUUUUCUCUAGUAUUCGAUUGUUGCUCUUAAAUGAGUGACUUUAGUUGCUGGAACUUUUACCUUGAAAAAAUUGAAGUGCUCAAAGCAGGUU
rnacentral:rRNA from 1 species